GGAUGCGAUCAUACCAGCACUAUUGCACCGGAUCCCAACAGAACUCCGCAGUUAAGCGUGCUUGGGUGAGAGUAUUACUAGGAUGGGUGACCUCUCGGGAAGUCCUCGUGUUGAAUCCCUCC
rnacentral:rRNA from 1 species